CUAACCGAAACGCAUUACUGCUUCACGGCAGAAAUAGGCAGGGUGGUGAUACCUACCCGUGCGGACUCACAAGAGGUCCUAUCACCAAAAUUCAUUUAAAAGCGACAUGAUAUUUAUAAGUUGAGAGGCGCGUUUUCCUCAAAUUACUAACUUGAAUGAAAAGUUUUUUCAUUUCGAUAGCCCAUACCCAUACCAGAUACGAUUUUAUUUCAUUCCUCUCUUAACUGAAAUUAAGUAAAAUUCUAUGUAAGAAUCGUAUCUUUUUAACAGUCUAUAGACGGAUAAUACUGCGCACUUCACUGCUUGUAGCAAUUAAUGAGUAAGAUAACACAAGUCAUGUCAAGUGAAACAAACAAACCGUCAAAUAAAAUAUGUAAUUCCAUUGGUGUUUUUAUCCACAUCCUAUUAUUAACAUUUUAAAGGUGACAAAAUAAUUAAGAGGUACAGAUUUAAUAACCGUUCAUAUAUUUGUAUAAAAACAGGCAGAAGUACUUUCGCAGAUUUAUCAUUCUGUCUUGUAUUUGUGAAGUUCACGACUGAUGCAUAAAGAUGUUUUUGAAAAACAUUUUCAUUGAAUGUGUAUUGUUGUAUUUCGUAAUGUUAAAUACGUCGUUUGUGAACAGUAUGACGAAACAGCAAAUAAAAAACUCUGGUAAAAUAUUGAAGAAGGCUUGCAUGUCGAAAAACGAUGUUACUGAAGGUCA